GACGAACGCUGGCGGCGUGCUUAACACAUGCAAGUCGAACGGUGAAGGGAUCAGCUUGCUGGUUCUGGAUGAGUGGCGAACGGGUGAGUAACACGUGAGUAACCUGCCCCCUUCUUCUGGAUAACCGCAUGAAAGUGUGGCUAAUACGGGAUAUUCUGCGCCUGCUGCAUGGUGGGUGUGGGAAAGAUAUUGUUUCGGUGGGGGAUGGGCUCGCGGCCUAUCAGCUUGUUGGUGGGGUGAUGGCCUACCAAGGCGGUGACGGGUAGCCGGCCUGAGAGGGUGGACGGUCACACUGGGACUGAGACACGGCCCAGACUCCUACGGGAGGCAGCAGUGGGGAAUAUUGCACAAUGGGCGCAAGCCUGAUGCAGCGACGCCGCGUGAGGGAUGGAGGCCUUCGGGUUGUGAACCUCUUUCGCCAGUGAAGCAGGCCUGUCCAUUGUGGGUGGGUUGACGGUAGCUGGAGAAGAAGCGCCGGCUAACUACGUG
rnacentral:rRNA from 1 species